rnacentral:rRNA from 1 species
GACGAACGCUGGCGGCGUGCCUAAUACAUGCAAGUCGAGCGAAUGGAUUAAGAGCUUGCUCUUAUGAAGUUAGCGGCGGACGGGUGAGUAACACGCGGGUAACCUGCCCAUAAGACUGGGAUAACUCCGGGAAACCGGGGCUAAUACCGGAUAACAUUUUGAACCGCAUGGUUCGAAAUUGAAAGGCGGCUUCGGCUGUCACUUAUGGAUGGACCCGCGUCGCAUUAGCUAGUUGGUGGGGUAACGGCUCACCAAGGCAACGAUGCGUAGCCGACCUGGGAGGGUGAUCGGCCAACCUGGGACUGAGACACGGCCCAGACUCCUACGGGAGGCAGCAGUAGGGAAUCUUCCGCAAUGGACGAAAGUCUGACGGAGCAACGCCGCGUGAGUGAUGAAGGCUUUCGGGUCGUAAAACUCUGUUGUUAGGGAAGAACAAGUGCUAGUUGAAUAAGCUGGCACCUUGACGGUACCUAACCAGAAAGCCACGGCUAACUACGUGCCAGCCGCCGCCGUAA